rnacentral:rRNA from 1 species
GGGUUGUGAGGUUAAGCGACUAAGCGUACACGGUGGAUGCCCUGGCAGUCAGAGGCGAUGAAGGACGUGCUAAUCUGCGAAAAGCGUCGGUAAGGUGAUAUGAACCGUUAUAACCGGCGAUGUCCGAAUGGGGAAACCCAGUGCAAUUCGUUGCACUAUCGUUAACUGAAUACAUAGGUUAACGAGGCGAACCGGGGGAACUGAAACAUCUAAGUACCCCGAGGAAAAGAAAUCAACCGAGAUUCCCCCAGUAGCGGCGAGCGAACGGGGAGCAGCCCAGAGUCUGAAUCAGCUUGUGUGUUAGUGGAACGGUCUGGAAAGUCCGACGGUACAGGGUGAUAGUCCCGUACACCAAAAUGCACAGGUUGUGAACUCGAAGAGUAGGGCGGGACACGUGGUAUCCUGUCUGAAUAUGGGGGGACCAUCCUCCAAGGCUAAAUACUCCUGACUGACCGAUAGUGAACCAGUACCGUGAGGGAAAGGCGAAAAGAACCCCGGCGAGGGGAGUGAAAAAGAACCUGAAACCGUGUACGUACAAGCAGUGGGAGCACCUUCGGGUGUGACUGCGUACCUUUUGUAUAAUGGGUCAGCGACUUAUAUUCUGUAGCAAGGUUAACCGUAUAGGGGAGCCGCAGGGAAACCGAGUCUUAACUGGGCGUUAAGUUGCAGGGUAUAGACCCGAAACCCGGUGAUCUAGCCAUGGGCAGGUUGAAGGUUGGGUAACACUAACUGGAGGACCGAACCGACUAAUGUUGAAAAAUUAGCGGAUGACUUGUGGCUGGGGGUGAAAGGCCAAUCAAACCGGGAGAUAGCUGGUUCUCCCCGAAAGCUAUUUAGGUAGCGCCUCGUGAAUUCAUCUUCGGGGGUAGAGCACUGUUUCGGCUAGGGGGUCAUCCCGACUUACCAACCCGAUGCAAACUACGAAUACCGAAGAAUGUUAUCACGGGAGACACACGGCGGGUGCUAACGUCCGUCGUGAAGAGGGAAACAACCCAGACCGCCAGCUAAGGUCCCAAAGUCAUGGUUAAGUGGGAAACGAUGUGGGAAGGCACAGACAGCCAGGAUGUUGGCUUAGAAGCAGCCAUCAUUUAAAGAAAGCGUAAUAGCUCACUGGUCGAGUCGGCCUGCGCGGAAGAUGUAACGGGGCUAAACCAUGCACCGAAGCUGCGGCAGCGACACUAUGUGUUGUUGGGUAGGGGAGCGUUCUGUAAGCCUGCGAAGGUGACCUGUGAGGGUUGCUGGAGGUAUCAGAAGUGCGAAUGCUGACAUAAGUAACGAUAAAGCGGGUGAAAAGCCCGCUCGCCGGAAGACCAAGGGUUCCUGUCCAACGUUAAUCGGGGCAGGGUGAGUCGACCCCUAAGGCGAGGCCGAAAGGCGUAGUCGAUGGGAAACAGGUUAAUAUUCCUGUACUUGGUGUUACUGCGAAGGGGGGACGGAGAAGGCUAUGUUAGCCGGGCGACGGUUGUCCCGGUUUAAGCAUGUAGGCUGGUUGUCCAGGCAAAUCCGGAUAAUCAAGGCUGAGGUGUGAUGACGAGGCACUACGGUGCUGAAGUAACAAAUGCCCUGCUUCCAGGAAAAGCCUCUAAGCAUCAGGUAACAUUAAAUCGUACCCCAAACCGACACAGGUGGUCAGGUAGAGAAUACCAAGGCGCUUGAGAGAACUCGGGUGAAGGAACUAGGCAAAAUGGUGCCGUAACUUCGGGAGAAGGCACGCUGGUGUGUAGGUGAAGCCCCUGCGGGUGGAGCUGAGACCAGUCGAAGAUACCAGCUGGCUGCAACUGUUUAUUAAAAACACAGCACUGUGCAAACACGAAAGUGGACGUAUACGGUGUGACGCCUGCCCGGUGCCGGAAGGUUAAUUGAUGGGGUUAUCCGUAAGGAGAAGCUCUUGAUCGAAGCCCCGGUAAACGGCGGCCGUAACUAUAACGGUCCUAAGGUAGCGAAAUUCCUUGUCGGGUAAGUUCCGACCUGCACGAAUGGCGUAAUGAUGGCCAGGCUGUCUCCACCCGAGACUCAGUGAAAUUGAACUCGCUGUGAAGAUGCAGUGUACCCGCGGCAAGACGGAAAGACCCCGUGAACCUUUACUAUAGCUUGACACUGAACAUUGAGCCUUGAUGUGUAGGAUAGGUGGGAGGCUUUGAAGCGUGGACGCCAGUCUGCGUGGAGCCAACCUUGAAAUACCACCCUUUAAUGUUUGAUGUUCUAACGUUGGCCCCUGACCGGGGUUGCGGACAGUGUCUGGUGGGUAGUUUGACUGGGGCGGUCUCCUCCCAAAGCGUAACGGAGGAGCACGAAGGUUAGCUAAUCCUGGUCGGACAUCAGGAGGUUAGUGCAAUGGCAUAAGCUAGCUUGACUGCGAGCGUGACGGCGCGAGCAGGUGCGAAAGCAGGUCAUAGUGAUCCGGUGGUUCUGAAUGGAAGGGCCAUCGCUCAACGGAUAAAAGGUACUCCGGGGAUAACAGGCUGAUACCGCCCAAGAGUUCAUAUCGACGGCGGUGUUUGGCACCUCGAUGUCGGCUCAUCACAUCCUGGGGCUGAAGUAGGUCCCAAGGGUAUGGCUGUUCGCCAUUUAAAGUGGUACGCGAGCUGGGUUUAGAACGUCGUGAGACAGUUCGGUCCCUAUCUGCCGUGGGCGCUGGAGAAUUGAGGGGGGCUGCUCCUAGUACGAGAGGACCGGAGUGGACGCAUCACUGGUGUUCGGGUUGUCAUGCCAAUGGCACUGCCCGGUAGCUAAAUGCGGAAGAGAUAAGUGCUGAAAGCAUCUAAGCACGAAACUUGCCCCGAGAUGAGUUCUCCCUGAGACUUUAAGUCUCCUGAAGGAACGUUGAAGACGACGACGUUGAUAGGCCGGGUGUGUAAGCGCAGCGAUGCGUUGAGCUAACCGGUACUAAUGAACCGUGAGGCUUAACCUUACAACGCCGAAG